rnacentral:rRNA from 1 species
ACGCUCGACACCUACGGGAGGUAGCAGUGGGGAAUAUUGCACAAUGGGGGAAACCCGUGAUGCAGCGACGCCGCGUGGAGGAAGAAGGUCUUCGGAUUGUAAACUCCUGUUGUUGGGGAAAAAGAGGAUGGUACCCAACAAGGAAGUGACGGCUAACUACGUGCCACAGCCGCGGUAAUCUGAGCGGGCUGGCAAGGC